UAUCCUUCCGUUAGGUAUAAAAGGCAAUGACCCCACUAUAAAUAACAUUAUAUAUAUAUAUAUAUAUAUAUAUAUAUAUAUAUAUAAUGUUAUUUAUAGUGGGGUCAUUGCCUUUUAUACCUAACGGAAGGAUA